rnacentral:sRNA from 1 species
GAACUGUGGCAGCAUCUGGCCUUCUCUGCAUGACCAGCAUGGUGUGGCAUGGAUCACACAGCUGGGCUGGCUUGCCCUCCUGUGCUUCUGGGCCCAGUUGAUAACAGCAGUCUUUGGGGAAGGAAAUCACAGUUAUCUUACCCGCCAAGGCCACGCUCCCUUCCCAUUUGGGGCUCACCAGAGCCUGAUCAUCCUGCCCUGCUGGCCUCUUGCCUAUCCCAUUCAUUUCAUCCCACUCCUGCCCCCAGUUUAGGCUCACGGCAUCACCUGCCUUGCACUCUGAUGGCACCAUGCUCCACCUCCCACCUCCUUCCCAUCUUCCUACAUCAGAGCCUGAUUGAGCCACUGCCCUGCACCUGCCUUUAAGGCCCGUGUUUCCUACAGAAUAGCAUUCAGUCUCUGACGUGAUAUUCAAAGCCCUCCAUAGCCUGGGUGCAUUCAUAAGAAUGGAAGCUCCAUGAGGGCGGGGGCCACACUUGUCUAGUCAUUCAUACCCAGACCUAGCAUGGUGGCUGUCAUAGAAGGUGUUCAACAAAUAUGUUUUUAAAAUAACAAAUGGUGCACAUCUAUUUUUCUAACCUCAUUGACAUCUAAUUUUCUUCAUCCAUCUUAUUCUAGUGAUUCCAAACAAACUCCUUUUCUGAGUAUUUCAGGCACUGUAGAGCCUCCAUGCCUUUACUCAUGCUGGUCCCUUAUCCUGAAAGCCUUUUCCAGCCUUCACUGUGUACAGACAUCCUACUGCAUUGGGGGCUGGCUCACAUACCCACUUUCCCCAAGCAGAAUAACUGUUUUUUUCCCCUCUCACUUACAGAUCUAGUUAGGUGGUAUUUUAUUUUUCCUCUUUCUUGGCCAUUUGUUAGUCUUUCUGUACAUGAGGUUGUAAACUCUAAAGAUAAGGACAUUAUCUUCACCUCUAGUCAUUUAGACAGGGGCAGCAAACUUUUUCUGUAAAGGAUGAGAUGAUAACUAUUUAAGGCAUUGGGGGCUUGCAGUCUCUCCUGCUGCUGUGUCAUGAAAGCAGCCGCGGGGGAUAUGUAAAUAGUACGUGAUUGAGCAAGUGCAGCACCAGUGCACAGUCUCAUCAUCGUCUCUGUGGGUACCUGAGUGGAGGUGAAUCGACUGGCCUGAAUGAAAAGAGUGAAAGUUCCCAUGUGGUUCCUCAAGGACAGGGAACUGGGGACUGGCCUCAAGUAGGCAUUAGAAUAAACUGCCCACAGAGUUUAAUGUGGAGAGGUGCAAAAUAUUUGAACCUUCCUUAUAAACACAUGCUAGCCAAGCUUGCAGCUCUAUUAUGGAAGUUGAUGCUCUGUGGAUAACAGACUCACUCUUCAUCCUUGUUAACCAAGGAAAGCUAUUACUGCAGUGGCCUUAAAAGAAGCCUGGGCAGCCAUAAUCAUUCAGAAGCACUGCCGCGGGUAUCUUGUUCGCAGCCUGUAUCAGCUGAUUCGCAUGGCCACCAUCACAAUGCAGGCCUACACCCGAGGAUUCCUGGCAAGGAGGAGGUAUCGAAAGAUGCUGGAGGAACAUAAGGCUGUGAUCCUACAGAAAUACGCACGGGCGUGGCUGGCCAGACGCAGAUUCCAGAGUAUCCGACGAUUCGUGCUUAAUAUUCAGCUUACUUACAGGGUCCAGCGUUUGCAGAAAAAGCUGGAAGAUCAGAACAAAGAAAACCAUGGGCUGGUGGAGAAGCUGACUAGCCUGGCUGCUCUUCGAGCUGGGGAUGUGGAAAAGAUUCAGAAGCUGGAAGCAGAACUAGAAAAAGCAGCCACUCACAGGCGAAAUUACGAGGAGAAGGGGAAGAGAUACAGGGAUGCUGUGGAAGAGGUCAGCUGCGGGCGUGUGAGACGGGAUGGAAAUAUGCGGACUCUCUGUGGAAAAGAUGAGCGCUGCCAGCUUUUCCUAUGAAGUGGAUUUCUGCAGAGCAAAUCAGAUUUUGCUAUCAACUUCCAUUACCAAAGGGAGCCUACCUUUUAGGAAAAGCGAGAUCAGAGGAUUAGAGUCUAGGGGAAGGGAGGAGGUUAAUAAUGAGAGAAAUGCAACAUAGGUUUUCUCUUUCUUUCAAGUUUUGCAAAAUGAUGACAGGCCCAAAGAGCCCUGGCUGGCUGCUUCCCUUUCUUCCAGGAUGACCUUGGUCUCCUAUCACUUGUCCUUAAGGUCUAUGCCCUGGAAAUGUCUUCCCCUGAACAGCAAUGCAAAGCUAGGGUAGGGUUUUCAUCUCUGGUGUGGUGAAAAGAGCAGUCAGCAUAAAAACCAGAUGCCCUAGAUUCAAAUCUUGCCUUUGUCUGGCUGGGCAGCCUUGGCUAAAGUCCCUUACCCUCUCUGAAUUUUAGUUUCCUCAUAUAGAAAAAUGAGAAUAACAAAAAAGGACUGACAGAAUUGUUGUGAGAAUAAAAUCAUCAGAUGAAAUACGUUAGCCAAAUGCCUACCAUAAUGAAUUUUAGUUUCCUCCUAUAUAAAAUGAGAAUAACAAAAAGAGAUUGACAGAAUUGUUGUGAGAAUAAAAUGGUCAGAUGAAAU